CAAUAGCGUAUAUUAAAGUUGUUGCAGUUAAAAAGCUCGUAGUUGGAUUUCUGGUAGGAGUGACCGUUCCGAACUUGAUUGUUCGUGUAUUGUGUUUUCUCCAGCCAUCCUUGUGGAGAACUUUUCCUGCAUUAAUUUGUAGGGAUUGGGACCCGCAUCGUUUACUGUGAAAAAAUUAGAGUGUUUAAAGCAGGCAAUCGCUUGAAUACAUUAGCAUGGAAUAAUAAGAUAGGACUUUGGUACUAUUUUGUUGGUUUGCAUACCAAAUUAAUGAUCAACAGGAACAGUUUGAGGAUAUUCGUAUGAACAUGUCAGAGGUGAAAUUCUUGGAUUUUGAUCAGACGAACUACUGCGAAAGCAUUUAUCAAGGAUGUUUUCAUUAA
rnacentral:rRNA from 1 species